AGAGUUUGAUCCUGGCUCAGAAUCAACGCUGGCGGCGCGCUUAACACAUGCAAGUCGAACGAGAAAGUGGAGCAAUCCAUGAGUACAGUGGCGUACGGGUGAGUAACACGUGGGUGAUCUACCUCUUAGUGAGGAAUAACCCUGGGAAACUAGGGCUAAUACCGCAUGAGCCUGAGAAGGGAAAGUCGCAAGACGCUGAGAGAGGAGCCCGCGGCCGAUUAGCUAGUUGGUAGGGUAAGAGCCUACCAAGGCAUAGAUCGGUAGCCGGCCUGAGAGGGCACACGGCCACACUGGCACUGAAACACGGGCCAGACUCCUACGGGAGGCAGCAGUGGGGAAUCUUGCACAAUGGGGGAAACCCUGAUGCAGCGACGCCGCGUGAGCGAUGAAGCCCCUCGGGGUGUAAAGCUCUUUCGGCAGGGAAGAUUAUGACGGUACCUGCAGAAGCAGCUGCGGCUAACUACGUGCCAGCAGCCGCGGUAAUACGUAGGCAGCGAGCGUUGUUCGGAGUUACUGGGCGUAAAGGGUGUGUAGGCGGUUCUUUAAGUUUGGUGUGAAAUCUCCCGGCUUAACCGGGAGGGUGCGCCGAAUACUGAGGGACUAGAGUACGGGAGAGGAAAGUGGAAUUCCUGGUGUAGCGGUGAAAUGCGUANAUAUCAGGAGGAACACCGGUGGUGUANACNGCUUUCUGGACCGUAACUGACGCUGAGACACGAAAGCGU
rnacentral:rRNA from 1 species